rnacentral:rRNA from 1 species
UACGUAGGGUGCAAGCGUUGUCCGGAAUUAUUGGGCGUAAAGAGCUCGUAGGCGGUUUGUCGCGUCUGCUGUGAAAACCCGAGGCUCAACCUCGGGCCUGCAGUGGGUACGGGCAGACUAGAGUGCGGAAGAGGCGAGUGGAAUUCCUGGUGUAGCGGUGGAAUGCGCAGAUAUCAGGAAGAACACCCGUGGCGAAGGCGGCUCUCUGGGACGGUACUGACGCUGAGACGCGAAAGCGUGGGGAGCGAACAGG